rnacentral:rRNA from 1 species
GUAGGUGAACCUGCGGAAGGAUCAUUACAGUAGUCACCCAGGUUGCCGCAAGGCCUCCUGGGUAACCUACCACCCUUUGUUUAUUACACUUUGUUGCUUUGGCAAGCCUGCCCUCGGGCUGCUGGCUCCGGCCGGCGAGCGCUUGCCAGAGGACCUAAACUCUGUUUGUCUAUACUGUCUGAGUACUAUAUAAUAGUUAAAACUUUCAACAACGGAUCUCUUGGUUCUGGCAUCGAUGAAGAACGCAGCGAAAUGCGAUAAGUAAUGUGAAUUGCAGAAUUCAGUGAAUCAUCGAAUCUUUGAACGCACAUUGCGCCCCCUGGUAUUCCGGGGGGCAUGCCUGUCCGAGCGUCAUUACAACCCUCAAGCUCAGCUUGGUAUUGGGCCCCGCCGACCCGGCGGGCCCUAAAGUCAGUGGCGGUGCCGUCCGGCUCCGAGCGUAGUAAUUCUUCUCGCACUGGAGGUCCGGUCGUGUGCUCGCCAGCAACCCCCAAUUUUUUCAGGUGACCUCGGAUCAGUAGGA